rnacentral:lncRNA from 1 species
UGUCACCCACCCUGUUAGCUUCAAGUUCCUCAGUGAAAACAGUCUACACAUUCCCAGAUGAAAGCCUGUUGUCAUGGAGUCCAAAGUUCCACCAUUUGGAUUCCAUUCUUUAUGACUGGAUGAAAGUAGUGUUCCCUCCUUCAUAAGUGCAAGCGCCCCUGCAUCGUGACCAGGGCUGCAUUGGCACCAGGCUCCUAUCAGCCGUCACUGCAUUACUCUACCAGAUGACAAGAAUUCGGGGCAAUAACGUGGGAGGAGCCACCAGGCAGAGUUCUAUUGAGAUAUAAUUGACAUGCAUCCCUGGAUAAGUAUAAUGGUUUGACUUUCCUCUAUCGUGAAUCUUGUUCUCCUUUGCAAAAAUUCAUAUGGAUACUUAGCAUGAAAAAUUAAGACAAUGAGCCAAAAGAUACCCCUAGAUACUUUUUCGGGAUAUGAAAUCUCGAAUAAAUUUCAUCUGGAGUUUUCAGGAAGCUGGGACGACUAG